GGUGGCUCACUGGUAGAGUGCUUGCCUUGCAUGCACGAGGCCCUGGGUUCGAUUCCUCAGCACCA
rnacentral:tRNA from 1 species